rnacentral:rRNA from 1 species
GACGAACGCUGGCGGCGUGCCUAAUACAUGCAAGUCGAGCGGACCACUUCGGUGGUCAGCGGCGGACGGGUGAGUAACACGUGGGCAACCUGCCUGUAAGACUGGGAUAACACCGGGAAACCGGUGCUAAUACCGGAUAAUCCUUUCCUUCACAUGAAGGAAAGCUGAAAGACGGUUUCGGCUGUCACCUACAGAUGGGCCCGCGGCGCAUUAGCUAGUUGGUGAGGUAACGGCUCACCAAGGCAACGAUGCGUAGCCGACCUGAGAGGGUGAUCGGCCACACAGGGACUGAGACACGGCCCAGACUCCUACGGGAGGCAGCAGUAGGGAAUCUUCCGCAAUGGACGAAAGUCUGACGGAGCAACGCCGCGUGAGCGAUGAAGGCCUUCGGGUCGUAAAGCUCUGUUGUCAGGGAAGAACAAGUACUGGAGUAACUGCCGGUACCUUGACGGUACCUGACCAGAAAGCCACGGCUAACUACGUGCCAGCAGCCGCCGCGGUAA